rnacentral:lncRNA from 10 species
AGAGAGAGAGGCAGGGUCUUGCUUUGUGGCCCAGGCUGGAGUGCAGUGGUAUAAUUAUGGCUCACUGCAGGCUCAACUUCCCAGACUCAAGGGAUCCUCCCGCCUUGGCCUUCCAAAGUGCUGGGAAUACAGGUGUAAGCCACUGCGCCUGGCCUCGGCUUUAUCCUUCUUUUUGCUAAUAUAUACACACAUAUUCUUAUUUCCCCACAUAUAUGACACAAGACGCGGCCAUCUAUUUCUUCUGUUCUGCCCCUUGAUUUUUCCCUCGCGGAUGUGAUAUCCCGCAGAUCUUGACCUAUCAGUCCACAGAGAUCUUCCUCUUCUUGUGGCUUCAUAGUCAGCCCACUACUCGUGGACAUUUUGGUUGUUUCGAUCUUGUGUUAUCACAAAUAAUGCUGUAAUUAACAACACUGUGCCCAGAUCGCUCUGUGCUUAUGCCAGUAUAAGGUUUAGAUAGAUUUCUAGCAGAUAGGGUUGCUAGAUUGAAGGGCAAAUGUAGCUGUCAUUUUGUUUCUAUUGCUUUUAAAAAUGAAAUCAUGUUUUUAAUCCAAAGUCAAUCUUCACCCAUGUCAGCAUGCUCUCCUGUGUUAGAUGAAAUAAUCUCUCACACCUGUUUGGGACUGUGGAUUAGGUCUUCUUUUUUCUGCUGUCUUAAAAAGUAAACUUGUUAUAUAUGGUAUAUUUAUUCUGAAAUUUCAGAUGGAUUCCCCUAUUCUAUACUACUGAAUCUUUUCUCGUGUCUGGUCAUGUUUUUGCUGUCUUCUCAUUCACGUGUGUGUGUCUGUGUGUGCACUCAUGUGCCUGUGUCUUUGUGCAUGCUCUUGUGUGUCUGUGUGUGCACGUGUGUAAUGUGUGUCUCUGUGUGUGCUCAUGUGUGCCUGUGUUUUUGUGUAUGCUCAUGUGUGUCUGUAUACGUGCAUGUCUUUGUGCAUGCUCCCAAAUAUUUGUGUGUACUUGUCUGCUUGUGUGUGUAUGUACAUGUUUGUAUAUUGGGGGGGCAGAGGAACAAGUGUGUGGCAUUGAGCUGUGUCAGGGGCCAAUAUGGUUUCCAAUAUUGACAUAUUGGUUUUUUAUAUUUCUUAGAAAUUUCUGGAUCUCCCAUUAGCAUCUUUUAAUCUGUGAACACAAUUCAGGGGAAAUGGUUUACCCAAGCUGUAUAUUUGGGGCUUCAGGCAGCAGUGAGGUACGGAAAAUAAGGGAAGCGUGAACAGUGCUGCCCAGGGUCUCAGAGGUUCAGCUGCUUCAGGUGAGGACCAGGUGAUGUCAUCACCAGCUCCCCCUGGAUGUGCGAUGUGCUCACCUGUAAGGGCGGCUGACGGGUCCGACAUCAUGGUCACGGUCUCUGUCACCUGUUGAGUGUGCUGAGGGCAGGCCCAGCCCUGAGCAUUUCACACAAACAGACCCCUUAACCUCAAGGCCACCCCAAGGCAUGGGUGCCUCAGCCUGACUCACAGAUGAGCAAACCUCAGCCCCAAGAGAGGAAGCCCCCGGCCCAGGCCCCGGCCCUCCACAUGUGGUCACAGCCCCCGGCCCCACUGGGCCCUUCACUUGUGACACCCACGCCUCCCUGGCCAGGCUGCUGCCACUUGCUUGGCAGGGGCUGCUCAUGCCUCCAGUGUUCUCACAGAACUGGCUGGUUCUGGCCACCAGCCAGGCUGCUGACCCCGAAAAUGGAAAAAGCUUUGGGGUGAUCCCAAACUCCCUCCACCGAACCCAUGAGCCUGCCUGCACCUCAUCUGUCCUGUUGGCUGGGGCUGGGGAAUUGGGGGUGGUCGUGAAGGGUGGGAAAGAGGGUCUUCCUUCCCCAGCGUCCUGUUGGCUGAGGGGGGUGUUGUGGGAUGUGGAGGAGGGGCUCUUCCUCCUCCAGGGUCCUGUUGGCUGAGGAGGGGGUCUUCCUCCCAUGGAAUCCUGGCCUCAAAAGGGUCUUUCUUCUCUGGAUAUCAAGUUUCUCGGUUUUAAAACUCAAAGGAUGAAUCUAGGGGAUCACCAAGGAUUUACACAGCCUGGGGUAUCUCUGUUCGUUCGUGCUGGUUACCCAGGGCAGGCACCUGGGGCCCAGCAUAUGUUUUGGGGGUAAGCGCUUCUUGGGUGCAGAGGCGCCGCCUGCCGCCCGCCGCCCGCGCCGCUUCCGCUCUCCGGCUCUAGAGGGCGCCCUAGCACAAGGAGCCGCCUCGCCCGGGCUGCUGGUGCAGGUUUCAACGCUCGUGCUCUCUCCCUGGGACCUUGGAUGACAAAAAGCUGCGUGAAUUUUUCACAUGCAUUCAUGUGAAAGAAAACUGACUUUUAAAAA